rnacentral:misc_RNA from 1 species
GAUGAAGAACGUAGCAAAAUGCGAUAAGUAAUGUGAAUUGCAGAAUUCAGUGAAUCAUCGAAUCUUUGAACGCACAUUGCGCCCGCUGGUAUUCCGGCGGGCAUGCCUGUUCGAGCGUCAUUUCAACCCUCAAGCCCCCGGGUUUGGUGUUGGGGAUCGGCUCUGCCCUUCUGGGCGGUGCCGCCCCCGAAAUACAUUGGCGGUCUCGCUGCAGCCUCCAUUGCGUAGUAGCUAACACCUCGCAACUGGAACGCGGCGCGGCCAUGCCGUAAAACCCCAACUUCUGAAUGUUGACCUCGGAUCAGGUAGGAAUACCCGCUGAACUUAAGCAUAUCAAUAAUCGGAGGA